rnacentral:rRNA from 1 species
ACCCGCUGAACUUAAGCAUAUCAAUAAGCGGAGGAAAAGAAACCAACAGGGAUUGCCCUAGUAACGGCGAGUGAAGCGGCAACAGCUCAAAUUUGAAAUCUGGCUCUUUUAGGGUCCGAGUUGUAAUUUGCAGAGGGCGCUUUGGCGUUGGCAGCGGUCCAAGUUCUUUGGAACAGGACGUCACAGAGGGUGAGAAUCCCGUACGUGGUCGCUAUCCAUCGCCGUGUAAAGCCCCUUCGACGAGUCGAGUUGUUUGGGAAUGCAGCUCUAAAUGGGAGGUAAAUUUCUUCUAAAGCUAAAUACUGGCCAGAGACCGAUAGCGCACAAGUAGAGUGAUCGAAAGAUGAAAAGCACUUUGGAAAGAGAGUCAAAUAGCACGUGAAAUUGUUGAAAGGGAAGCGCUUGCAGCCAGACUUGCCUGUAGUUGCUUAUCCGGACUUUUGUCCGGUGCACUCUUCUGCGGGCAGGCCAGCAUCAGUUUGGGCGGUUAGAUAAAGGUCUCUGUCAUGUACCUCCCUUCGGGGAGGCCUUAUAGGGGAGACGACAUGUAACCAGCCCAGACUGAGGUCCGCGCAUCUGCUAGGAUGCUGGCGUAAUGGCUGU